rnacentral:rRNA from 1 species
UGGGGAAUAUUGGACAAUGGGCGAAAGCCUGAUCCAGCCAUGCCGCGUGUGUGAAGAAGGGCUUCGGAUUGUAAAGCACUUUAAGUUGGGAAGAAGGGCAUUAACCUAAUACGUUAGUGUUUUGACGUUACCGACAGAAUAAGCACCGGCUAACUCUGUGCCAGCAGCCGCGGUAAUACAGAGGGUGCAAGCGUUAAUAGGAAUUACUGGGCGUAAAGCGCGCGUAGGUGGUUUGUUAAGUUGGAUGUGAAAUCCCCGGGCUCAACCUGGGAACUGCAUUCAAAACUGACUGACUAGAGUAUGGUAGAGGGUGGUGGAAUUUCCUGUGUAGCGGUGAAAUGCGUAGAUAUAGGAAGGAACACCAGUGGCGAAGGCGACCACCUGGACUAAUACUGACACUGAGGUGCGAAAGCGUGGGGAGCAAACA